GGAGGUGAAGACUGUAACAAAGUUAUAUGCAGAUACGGGUAGAAAUGCUGAUGCUUUGCCCUUAUAUUUUGGUGAAGACCCAGCUCGUUGCCCUUUCGAACAAGCUAGUUUAACCCUUUUAAACUUUGUGAGGCUCUUUCAAAAAUGCGAUGCGGAGAAUCGUGGACAGGCUGAAGCUGCAAGAAAGGAAAACGAGAAAGAGAUCGAAACGACCUGGUAUACAGUUCCAUGGACCUAUCCAGAAAUACUUUACGAUAUUUGGCCUAAUGUAUGAGAAAAUAA